rnacentral:rRNA from 1 species
UACGAGUGCCUCAAGCGUUAUCCGGAAUUAUUGGGCGUAAAGGUUGUGUAGGUGGUUGUAUUAGUCUUCUGGUUAAAUUCUUCGGCUUAACCGGGGGCAUGCAGGGGAAACGGUACAACUAGAGGAUGCGAGGGGUCUGUGGAAUUCAUAGUGUAGCGGUAAAAUGCGUUGAUAUUAUGGAGAACACCAAAAAGCGAAGGCAGCAGACUGGAGCACUCCUGACACUGAAACAAGAAAGCGUGGGUCGCGAAAUGGGAUUAGGAA